rnacentral:lncRNA from 1 species
AUGGCAUUCCAACAUAUUGGUGUUAAAAAAAUAGUAAUGUGAAUAGGUAGUAAAUUGAAGUCAUUUUAUUCUAAGAUAUAAUCUUUGAAAAUAUGUUAAUUCUUAUCAUACUUCUUAUUAGCAAAGACGUAUAAUUAUAUAUAUAUUCACAGACACACACAAAUAUUUUAUUAUGUGAUACAAAAUCUUUCAAUAGAAAGAAAAAGAAUCAAACUUAUAAUACUUGCAUCAAUAAUAAGUUUUAUUACAAAAAACCAAUAAUUGUAUUUUUUAUUUUAAUUUCAAUUUUCCAUACAAUAACAGAUUCAUGUUUUAAUUCAUUCAAAAUUUGUCAAAUAAAUUCCAUAAAAGAUAAAUUGUAAUAAGUUUCACAAAAGAAGACGUAUUUCCAUUUUUGCCAAACACUUUGGAUUUUUAUUUUUUAUUUUUUAUUAUAAUACUCUAUGUAUGAAUAUAUUCAUACAUUCACACAUAUUUAUGGUUUAAGUCAAACAUCUUUUAAUGUGAUUCAAAACAAAAUAUCAAAUUAUUUGAAUUUCAUUAUUCAUUUUGCAAUAAAUAAAUCAUAUUGAAAAGCAACUGCCAUUGAUUUUGCUCUGUCAAAAAUACACCAAUUUGCAAACUUUCUCUCCAAAAUCAGUUGACAUGAACUCCACUUAAUCUUUCGCUUCAUAAUUAGAAUUUCAGUUCUUACUCCCUUGAUGAAGAGGCAUCUCCCAUGAACAAAAAUGAACAAAAUGAAUAUCCAUGUUUUUUGUGCACUGUCCGUGUCUCCAUGACAUCCAACCUUCCUUUCCAAAGAAAUUCUUUCUUCAUAUAUAUUUAGUGUUUAAAAUGUAUAAAAACAUUGGAAUCCAGUGUUGGUUCCUCAUCUCUGAAGCUUUGAUUCCACACAGAAGCUCAAUGCAUUGUGGACAAGCUCCUUCCUAGACCACAACUUGCCAUCUCAAGAAGAAGAAGAAGAAGAAGAGUUGUUGGAGGUUGUAAAGAAGAAGAAACAGAGGAAGAUGAAGUGUUAAAGCAGAUUGUACAGAAGAAGAAGAAGAAGAAGAAGAUGAAGAAGUGUUGUCGGAGGUUGUGAAGAAGAAGCAGAAGAUGAAGAAGAAGUGAACGGAGGGGUGUGGUGUAGUGUGGCGGAGGUGAACAGAUUCGAAACGAGAUGGUGAACAGCACCAAGACCAUGACGACGCAUUAUGGUGAGCUGUUUUUCCUGGCCACCUUCAUCGAUAGUCCCACAUGGGCCACCACAAUCUUGCAGACGCCGUGUUCUGCAGAAGACUUCCAGAAUCGUGUACCCCAUGAAUUCUCUUCAUACCUGCACCUCCCAAACCUUUGCUCAUUUCCUUUUGUGUUGUUUUGAUUGUUGGAAUCUUUGGCUUUUGGGGUCAUUUAGAUGGUGGAUCAUGAGAACAGCAUGUUGACAGCGCUUUUGCAGUAGGAAAAGAUCACUUGCAUGACGGUGAGCUGAUAGUCGUGCUUGGACAUUUCAUUCAUAAGAACAAAGUGGUUUCUUAGGGUGACUUUUGAAGCAGAUUAAUGUUCAUGGGAGGUAAGGUUGCUGCGCAAACUCAUGCAUGAAUCCCUGCUCUUCUCAGAGAAUGGAGAAUUACUGCUGAGAUUGCGCUAGUGUUGAGAUGGUUUCAUCCUUACAAAGCAGAUGUGACGUUUGUGAGUAGCAAAUUCACGGCAACACUGCUAGAGACACGGGUCAAGGGUGUGUAUGUUCAUUGUAUAGAGAACCUGAGUUCGUAAAUUUCUGUCUCCAUUUAGAAACCUUUUCUCUAUUAUCGUUCUUGUUUCUUGUCUAUAUUUAGGUUCAGUAGUUUCAUCAGAUAGGUUCUGUGCCGAGUAUAUUGCAUUUGGAAACAAUUACAGUACUUACGAUGGGAAGCAACAUCUAGCAUGAACCUCAACAGAUCAUGAGAGAACUGCAGAGGUUUAGGGUUGUAAGACUUUGAGAUAUGUCCAUUUAGAGUUCCUAAUUAUCCAUGUGAUGUGUUGCGGAUUAGAUCUAUAAAGGCGAUUUUCUUUCUAGCUUCACAACACGUACUAUGUCAUAAAAGACUGCAUCAUUGUUUUCUCUCACAAGAACACGAAUUUAAGACUUUGGACGCCCAUGGCUUAGUCGAGAUUUUGCACCUGACAGGGCCCACCCACAACUUUCUCAAUACGUUGCUUUAGAAUGUUUGAAGGUACGAAGGUGCGUCUGCAAGAUUAGGUUCAACAAUCCUCCUUGAUUGUUUUGAAUUAUUCUUUCAUCUUUACUGCUGUUUAAUUCUGAAGCUGUUGUUGCAUAAAAUGACAAUCGUUGCAAGUUUAUAACGAUGCCAUUAAUUGGUUUAUGCAAUAGCUUUGACCAGCAAGUUCCACCGAAGAGGUGAUAUUCCUAUAGAAUGGAGAGAAUAUUUGCAUGCAAUCUGAUUAUGAUUUUAAGUUGGGGUGUAAUAGUUGUGGAAGAUCCAUGCCAGUGAGAGGAUUAGAUGAUCUCCUAGAUCAGUAAUUCAUUGUGUGGAUUUAUGCAGUGCCAAUUACCUUGGAACUGUCAGAUUGUAACAGAAAUAAAUCAUUUAAAACCUGCAGACUAGUGAUGAAGGAAAGAGUUGCAACAUUGUAGUUCAGCAUCAAAUCUUGACGAUCUGACUGAUGUUUGAAAAGCUAAUCAGAGUUACAGUUAAUGGAUUAUGCUGGUGUAAAUAUUGCAAUGGC